rnacentral:rRNA from 1 species
UACAGGGGGGGCAAGCGUUGUUCGGAAUUACUGGGCGUAAAGGGUUCGUAGGUGGCCACUUAAGUCAGACGUGAAAUCCCUCAGCUUAACUGGGGAACUGCGUCUGAUACUGAGUGGCUUGAGUGCAGGAGAGGAAUGCGGAAUUCCAGGUGUAGCGGUGAAAUGCGUAGAUAUCUGGAGGAACACCGGUGGCGAAGGCGGCAUUCUGGGCAGUGGCUGACGCUGAGGCGCGACAGCGUGGGGAGCAAACAGG